rnacentral:lncRNA from 1 species
GUAGACCUUGUACAAUAGAGCUUAUAGGCUAAUGAGAAGACAGGAAGAAACAACAGGAACACAUAUAGCUGGAAUGCAGAUGGGAUCUGUGCUACUUACGCUAGCCAUGGGAUGAUUAGAACAAGAUAAGAGACAUGAGGAAGACUUCUUCAAGGAGGUGCUCAAGCCAUGUUUUGGAAAAGAGAACUCAAGGUCUGGCAGGGAGAAAGGAGCAAGGGCAAGUAGAGCUGCGGCUGUCUGGCGCCACUGUAAUGCUGUCUCCUCCUCUGAGUUCAUCCUGGAAACAUUUUCUCCCAUAAGACAUGCACAGGUCUUACGUUUACAUGUUUCACUGAAAGAAAUUUGAUUCCACUGAUGGGAUGACAAGGAAGACUGAAGAAACCUAAUCCUAGGUGCUGCCAUUGGGACAAACAAGAAGCACCAGACACAGUGCUGUUUUAGGGUGGGGCAGAAUUAUGCUGAGGGAAAAGUUAUUAUCACUCUUUAAGGCCAAGGAAACCACAAUUUUUAAAGAAGCUUCUAGAAAUUCUACCCAAUAGAAAAUAAAGAUAAACUUCUGUAAGGAA